GACGAACGCUGGCGGCGUGCUUAACACAUGCCAGUCGAACGGAAAGGCCCUGCUUUUGUGGGGUGCUCGAGUGGCGAACGGGUGAGUAACACGUGAGUAACCUGCCCUUGACUUUGGGAUAACUUCAGGAAACUGGGGCUAAUACCGGAUAGGAGCUCCUGCUGCAUGGUGGGGGUUGGAAAGUUUCGGCGGUUGGGGAUGGACUCGCGGCUUAUCAGCUUGUUGGUGGGGUAGUGGCUUACCAAGGCUUUGACGGGUAGCCGGCCUGAGAGGGUGACCGGCCACAUUGGGACUGAGAUACGGCCCAGACUCCUACGGGAGGCAGCGGUGGGGAAUUUUGCACAAUGGGCGGAAGCCUGAUGCAGCAACGCCGCGUGCGGGAUGACGGCCUUCGGGUUGUAAACCGCUUUCGCCUGUGACGAAGCGUGAGUGACGGUAAUGGGUAAAGAAGCACCGGCUAACUACGUG
rnacentral:rRNA from 1 species